rnacentral:rRNA from 1 species
AGCAGUAGCCGCGGGAAAACGUAGGUGGCAAGCGUUGUCCGGAAUUAUUGGGCGUAAAGGGCUCGCAGGCGGUUUCUUAAGUCUGAUGUGAAAGCCCCCGGCUUAACCGGGGAGGGUCAUUGGAAACUGGGAAACUUGAGUGCAGAAGAGGAGAGUGGAAUUCCACGUGUAGCGGUGGAAUGCGUAGAGAUGUGGAGGAACACCAGUGGCGAAGGCGACUCUCUGGUCUGUAACUGACGCUGAGGAGCGAGAGCGUGGGGAGCGAACAGGAUUAGAGACCCCUGUAGUCCCUGUCUCUUAUAC